rnacentral:rRNA from 1 species
AUGAUGAACAGGCCGCGGACGCCAGUCGAAGGCCUUGAGAAGGACUGCGCGGUUGGACUCGAGAGCAGCUGCACUAGAGGACACCAUGGUCUUGGCAUUGCUGCCCCGCACGAGAAGAGGAGGGUUCCCUCCGCCGCCGCCGAGCCCGCAUCCGUGCUCUCCGCGGUGCCCGUCCUCGCUCCGCCGUUGCCAAAUCGUACGAGAUCGGCAGGAUCCGCUGCAUCUUGCGCGCCGCCGCCGGUGCUUCACCUGUUGCCGGCCUCCUUCCAGUUCCCUUCGUCGCCGAGGACGAGCACGCCAAGUUCCCAUGCCUUUUCCAGCGGUCAUUAUGACGAGUUGUUCCCCAACUGA